UAUAGCUCUGCAUGAAUCUGGACUUUUCAGUCUGUAAAAAUGAAUUUUACUAAUUUACCUGUCUUUAAUUCAUCAGUGUUACUUCUGAAGUUUGGAAAGAAAGACAAAUUUUAUUGUGGAGUAUCACUUUAAAUUCCUACCCCCAUUCAAAAACGCUUUCAGUGAAGUAAAGCAAGUAAAUUUUAAAGUUGAAAAUAAGACAAUCCUGGGAGUAAAAAUCAGUCACUUAUCAGUGUACUUCCAUGUGGCUCAUUCCGAAUUCAGAAUUUGGAACACAAAUUUAGAAUAUUGAACGUGGCAUUAUUCAUUACCUGGCACUCAGUCACUCAAGGCAGUUAGCCAAACAAGCUAUCUCUCUACAUACAGGUGAACCAACAUUUCUGAGAAUCUUAAAAAAUUGAAAACAUUCAUAAAUCAAAAUAGGAGGUUUUCUAUGAGAGAAGCUAAGAACGAGCCAAUUUUAAGUAUACUGGAUGUGAAAACAAGCCGGGUUUCCUGACAAGACGCCUCCAUUUGUGCCGACAAUAUCAAUUAGUGACUAUAAAACAGACUUACCAAAGAUGAUAUUUCAAUCAGUAAUAAGCUUUCUAGAUGCAAAGACAUACUUUCUUUUCUCUGCUUCUGUCUGAGAGUCUAGGAAGGACAAUAAUGAUUACUGUAGCUGGCGGAUGGAGGAGAAGCAUAUGGGAUUAAAAAAAAUAAGGUUGCUUAUGAAGUGACAUUUCGAAAACUUCCUCAGUUCUCCAAAUUGAAUCACAAACUUUUCUGCAAUGAUUUCUGCCAGGUUUUGCAUUUGUUAUCCAAAUGAAAAGAAAUUAUUUCCCUCACUUUGUUCUCAUAACUAUUAUUUCCUGGUUCUGCAAGGGCAUGAUUUGGGGGCAGAGGUCCAGGGACCCACUCAGCAGAAUGAACAUGAAGGACCCCAAACCCAGCAGGAUCCUUCACCUCCAAUAUAAGGCCAUUAAGUCCAGAAUCUACAAUUACCUAACUAUACUCCUAAGUAUCUUGAUGAUACACAAUGUUUUCCUAUGGAAUAUGUUUAAUUCUAGACCACUAUGCAAAAGUACUAAUAUUCUGGGCACUGAAUAGUGAGGAAAAUUUCAGGUGAUUGCAUCAUAAAUAACACAAAUAUUCUGUUAAUAUUUCCACCUGUCUUUAUUUUUCUAAUGUGUGUGUGUGUUUUCUGAAGUGCGAACUGGUGUUCCAGGUAUAUGUAGCUGGUGAUUUUUGUCAUUCACAUUCUUUAUCCAUAUAAGAAAUGUUGGAUUGCCUCUGAAACUUAUCAUACACAAAUCUCAGUGCUGUAACCAUAUACAAUAUUAUCCCAAGAGCCUUGCUAACAGGAACCUGAGAAGAAGAAGAGAAGUCAGCUUAUUCCAAAAAUCUGCUGACCCACAAACACAGUCAAGCUGAGGAACAGUUUGGAUGUUGAGGGAAAAGGUCCUAAGAUCCAUCUUUAUCCACCCCCAUUUUCUCCCCAAGGGAACCCAGAAGAGAGGGAUAUUCUUUUAUCUAAAUUCAAAGUUUUCAGGAUAUCAGUCACGCUCCACACCAAAGGACUUUUAUGGUGACAAACAGAAUAUUGUUGUCGUCUAGUGUUUGUAAAUUAUGUUAUCUCAAUCACAUAUAUAAGUAGAAAUAUUACACAAAUAAUACAAUUCAUGUGUCACAAAUAAACAAGAACACCAGCCUCCCUAAGUUCUGUUGUUCCUUUUCAGGUUGUUACCAUAGAAUCUGUCCUUGAAGCCUGAUAUUUCUGCUGGUCAGUGAGGAAAAACGGAAUCUUCUUAUUUCACCUCAGCAUCACAGCAGUCUUCUAAAAAUGGCGGAUGGUGCCAGUAGCUCAGGAACAAACUUAUAGCCCUUUAUAAUCUAAAAGAACUUAGACAAGAAACUCGUACUGUUGGGGAAAUGCAUAACUCUUAAACAAUUUAAAGGAAACCUCACAACUAACCUAUUCUUAAGGAUUCAAGGCCUUACAGAGAGGAGAGAGCAGGCAUGAUCCGAACGGCACUGAGGUCAUGCACAGAAUGGUGGCUGCUCUCUGCUUCAGGGGUCUUGCAAAACAUGUGCAGAAUCAUUAAAGUGAUAUACACAAGUGGGUUACUCAUGCAUGAUCAGGUCAAAAAGACUACUGUUGCAGUAAGUGCAGAUUGAUAAAGAGGCAGGAGUGAUGCAGUCAAUUUCUGUGAGAACCCAAAAACUGACUGCACCAUCUUGCCUGGAGUGCUUUGGGAGCAGAACUUUGCUGCAGAG